UUAAGAAAACCACUGUCCCUUCUGAUCUGAUGUAAUUUCAAACUCUUGAUUUUCUUCCUAUUGUUUGUUGUUUGUUUUUUUUUUCCAGGGUGGUAAAGGAGGAGAUCUCAGACGACAAUGCAAAGCUCCCUUGCUUCAAUGGAAGAGUGGUGUCCUGGCUGGUCCUGGCUGAAAGCUCCCACUCUGACACGGGCUCCCAGUGCACCGAGAGCCACACAGACCUUCCACCACCCAUUGAGAGAACAGGCGGCAUUGGAGACUCCCGGCCUCCAUCAUUCCACCCAAAUGCUGCCAGCAGCCGGGAUGGCCUGGACAAUGAAACAGGAACAGAGUCAGUUAUUAGCCACCGGCGAGACAGACAUCGACGGAGAAAUAGAGAAGGGCAUGAGGAUGUCCCUCGGAUCAAUGGCCACCCGAAACUGGACAGGCACCGUGAGCACCCUCCUG
rnacentral:lncRNA from 1 species